UGAACGUUGGCGGCGUGGAUUAGGCAUGCAAGUCGCGCGAGAAGGGUUUUUUGCUUGCAUUAGACCCGGAAAGCGGCGAAAGGGAGAGUAACGCGUGGAUACCUACCCCGGGAUCUGGGAUAGCUGUGGGAAACUGCAGGUAAUACCGGAUAAUGUCCCCGGACCAAAGGUGUGAUUCCGUCUUGGGAUGGGUCCGCGUCCUAUUAGCUUGUUGGUGAGGUAAUGGCUCACCAAGGCGAUGAUGGGUACCGGGUGUGAGAGCAUGGCCCGGCUCACUGGGACUGAGACACUGCCCAGACACCUACGGGUGGCUGCAGUCGAGAAUCUUCCGCAAUGGGCGAAAGCCUGACGGAGCGACGCCGCGUGCGGGAUGAAGGCCUUCGGGUUGUAAACCGCUGUCAGUGGGGAGGAAAUGCAUCAGGGUUCUCCCUGGUGUUUGACCGAUCUUCAGAGGAAGUCCGGGCUAAGUUC
rnacentral:rRNA from 1 species